UCCUUAACCCCCUUAACCCUGUUGCACUCACCCUGCCACAGUUACCCCUUUACUCACCUUGUCACAAAUUGAAGACAUUCAUCAUACACACAUGCACAAAGGUCACAGGCAGCCCUAAUAAACACCACACACCGCAAGCAGCUACCCCACACACAUACUAUCACAGACACAUACGCAUAAAGACAUACAUUCACAAACAAGGAUACUAUCGGUCAGAGAGUACUUUUUAUGCACAUACACAGGUAGACAAUGCCAG